rnacentral:rRNA from 1 species
UGCAGUCGAACGGCAGCACGGAGCUUGCUCUGGUGGCGAGUGGCGAACGGGUGAGUAAUAUAUCGGAACGUACCCUAGAGUGGGGGAUAACGUAGCGAAAGUUACGCUAAUACCGCAUACGAUCUAAGGAUGAAAGUGGGGGAUCGCAAGACCUCAUGCUCGUGGAGCGGCCGAUAUCUGAUUAGCUAGUUGGUAGGGUAAAAGCCUACCAAGGCAUCGAUCAGUAGCUGGUCUGAGAGGACGACCAGCCACACUGGAACUGAGACACGGUCCAGACUCCUACGGGAGGCAGCAGUGGGGAAUUUUGGACAAUGGGCGAAAGCCUGAUCCAGCAAUGCCGCGUGAGUGAAGAAGGCCUUCGGGUUGUAAAGCUCUUUUGUCAGGGAAGAAACGGUGAGAGUUAAUAUCUCUUGCUAAUGACGGUACCUGAAGAAUAAGCACCGGCUAACUACGUGCCAGCAGCCGCGGUAAUACGUAGGGUGCAAGCGUUAAUCGGAAUUACUGGGCGUAAAGCGUGCGCAGGCGGUUUUGUAAGUCUGAUGUGAAAUCCCCGGGCUCAACCUGGGAAUUGCAUUGGAGACUGUAAGGCUAGAAUCUGGCAGAGGGGGGUAGAAUUCCACGUGUAGCAGUGAAAUGCGUAGAUAUGUGGAGGAACACCGAUGGCGAAGGCAGCCCCCUGGGUCAAGAUUGACGCUCAUGCACG